ACUCCUACGGGAGGCAGCAGUGGGGAAUAUUGGACAAUGGGGGAAACCCUGAUCCAGCCAUGCCGCGUGUGUGAAGAAGGCCUUCGGGUUGUAAAGCACUUUCAGUGGGGAGGAAAGGUUGUUUGGUUAAUACCUAAACAGCUGUGACGUUACCCACAGAAGAAGCACCGGCUAACUCCGUGCCAGCAGCCGCGGUAAUACGGAGGGUGCAAGCGUUAAUCGGAAUUACUGGGCGUAAAGCGUGCGCAGGCGGUCUGUUAAGCGAGAUGUGAAAGCCCCGGCUGCAACCAUCGG
rnacentral:rRNA from 1 species